rnacentral:rRNA from 1 species
CCUACGGGAGGCAGCAGUGAGGAAUAUUGGUCAAUGGCCGGAAGGCUGAACCAGCCAUGCCGCGUGAAGGUCAGUGCCCUAUGGGCGUUAAACUUCUUUUGUGCGGGAGCAAUAAUGGUCACGUGUGGCCAGACGAGAGUACCGUACGAAUAAGCAUCGGCUAACUCCGUGCCAGCAGCCGCGGUAAUACGGGGGAUGCAAGCGUUAUCCGGAUUUAUUGGGUUUAAAGGGUGCGUAGGCUGUGAGGUAAGUCAGCGGUGAAAUGCCCCCGCUCAACGGGGUGAAGUGCCAUUGAUACUGCCUGGCUUGAAUGCGGAUGACGUGGGAGGAAUGUGUGGUGUAGCGGUGAAAUGCAUAGAUAUCACACAGAACACCGAUUGCGAAGGCAUCUCACAAAUCCGCGAUUGACGCUGAUGCACGAAAGCGUGGGUAUCAAACAGGAUUAGAUACCCUUGUAGUC